GCCCCCAUAGCUCAAUGGAUAGAGCAGUAGCCUUCUAAGCUAUGAGUCCAGGUUCGACUCCUGGUGGGGGCG
rnacentral:tRNA from 3 species